UUUCCUACCAAAAUUAAAAUUAAAAUAAAAAACAAAAGAAAAAGUUACGCUGAACUUUCCCAAAUCUCACUCUCAGUCUCAAAAUUCAUCAAACCCUCCUUCAUCUUCUUCAAACCCAGUGAUCUUCUUCAAAUAUCAAACCACCCAGAAACCUUCAUCUCACUCAGUUCAUCAGAUCAAACUACCCACAAACCCUCGAUUUUCUUCACUCACCCUCGUUAUUCUUCUCCAAUCUCAUUCCACCCAGAAACCCUCGACCUUCUUCUUCUCACCAUCAUCACUAUCACUCCAUCCAUAAACCCUUCUUCUCACCAUCGUAAAUUACACUCCAAUCGCCACUCACCCAGAAACUCGUUGAAGCCCUAAACCCCCAAAAUCUCUUCAUCGAUUUAACCCAGGUUGAACAUAAGCUCCUUGAAACCCUAAAACAAAAAUCAAUUGAACCUGUGAAACUCGCUGAAACCCGAAAACCAUCUUCCCCCAUCGUUCACCAUUGUCCAUUGUUUCAGAAUUCGUUAACCUAGAAAUUUUUCAUCCUUUCGCCAUUGUUCAUGGCAAUUGAACCUUUGUCUUCUCACAAGAAGUUAAGUUACUCACUCUUACUCAAUCAACAACAUAUUUUGUUAUUUUUGUUUAUAUAAGAUUGAUUGAAAUCAUCUAAUUGAGGAAUUAUGUUGUUGUUUUGAUUUUGAUUUGUGGUAGAACCGAGACUUAAUCUGUAUCCUGAUUAUUAUUUUUUUUGUUACUUUUUAGAUUAACCCACAACAAGUGUCAUCUGCUAGUGUAAAUUUAACAACAGAGACAAUAAUAGUUUGAAUUAAUUUUUUUUUUUAAACAAUUACAAGCUUGUCUUAUAGCUUUCAAAGAAUUAGCUCGAUGUGGUGAAGGUCAAAUGGCAUUUGAUGUAAUUCUUUAUGGUAUCCACUAUUUGAUAAAGUUUUCUGAUAUCUAAUUUUAUUGGGUGAGUUACCAAUUCUUUGAUUUUCUAGUUGAUAAAGCAUAGUACUGUGCCUUUUAAUUUUGAUAUGAUAAGCUUUAGUUUUAGACUUUUAGGCUAAGAUCAUUGUUAGGUCCAAACUGCUGAAAAAUUUGCAUUUCUGUCAAUAAGUUUUUAGGUUUCAAGUGAAGAAAGUUGACACUGCUUAUAUAAAACACCUUGCUGACAGGCUUCCUGAGGUUAAACAUCUAUUAUCUAUACCUUGAUGAUUUUAUUUUGAUUUACUUACUAUGCUCUAUGAUGAAUCCAUCAUAUUGUGACCAAUUUUUUUUCCACUAAACUUUAGUGCAAUGCAUCGGACAAUAUACCUAUAUUCAUAACCUAUCUUCCAGAAAUUGUGUUAAUAAUUUCUAAUACUUUUUCACUGGGAUAUAAUCAUUGCGUUAAUAAUUGCAUCUCGGUGUUUUGAUUAUCUCCUAUGUAACGAUACCAAAAAUAGGAACAAUAUUUUGGGAUUUUAUGGAUAAUCUGGAUUUCAAUAUGAGUUGAAAGGUACAAUAGUAGCUUGCAGAAAUUAAAAUACAAUUUGAAGAUAGAAGAUGAACUAGAGAAUUAGAAUUAAGUUGCAGUAGCAACUUCCAAAGAGAGAUGAGAGAUUCUUCAUAAUUUCUUUCAUAUCUCACACAUCAUUCAUACUUCCCUCUUUAUAGCAAUUUCGUUUAGUAAUCUUCACUUAAUUAUUGGAUCACUUGACACAUGUACCUUUUCUCUAAUCAUUUUAGUGACCUAAUAUGAUGACAUGCCUUUUCUUCUAUUGGUAUCAUUACAAUACCUUCCCUUUAAAAUAAACCUUGUCCUCAAGGUUGAAACCAAGAUAAGUGGUGUUGAAUGACAUAAACAACUUUUCAAGUUUCUCCAAGUCAAGAGAACAUCCACCUGGAUCCCAUUGUUCAAAUUUUACAGAUACUUUGGUCUAGAAAAAAUAGGCAUUACCACCUGGAUCCCAUUGUUUGAAAUGUAAGGAUCUCUUUAAACGGAUAAAAUAACCAUUGCCACCCUGAUCCCAAUUCUUGCCGUGCUUGAUCCAUGAUGCUAGUUUAUAACCCAAAACACUUAUAUUGAUAAGUGUUAUAAUCCUGCUAAUCAUUAUAAUUGGGACUUUCUCUUUGUACUUUAGUAAGAUAUAUUGAUAAGUGCCCUGCAAUGAAUCCAAAGAAAGGCACAAGCAUUGAAGUUUAUGAAAAUAAAGCACCAAAGGAGAUCCCUCUAACAAUUCCAGCAGAGUAUGUGUAUCUGCAUCAAUACUGGAUUCAAAUUCCUCCACAUAUGUCACACCAUCUAUCCUCAUCAACAUGAUGGGAAAAGCAAUGGCAAGACUGCCAUGAAACAAAUCAGUAAGGUAAUUUUUGUGAAUAACUAGCUGAUCCUUAGGAUUGUAAUAUAUUGCUAGAAGAUAUGCCUCACCAAUACCCUGUUCAUGACCAUUCCAAAGUGCAGUGCAUUUAUGAUUAAAACAAAACCAAGUGUUUGCAAAUGUCUCAAGAAUCCACUCCUUAACAAGUAACAAUCUCUCUUCCUUUAAAGGUCUGUAUGGCUCCAAAAAGUAUGGCUUAAAAUAUGUGAGUAAUAAACUAAGUGACAUCCUAGUUUUCCUUUUAUCGCUUAGUCCUAAUUGCAAUUGAAGCACGCUUUCAUUACUUUCUAAUAUCAAAUAAUUGAUGUCUAAACUAUUUGGUGCAGGUUGGACUCCAUUCUAACCGCAAGAUACCAUUCAAAGUAUUAAUGUUUUUUUUUAUGGUUUAUAUUGUUUUAAACCAUAGAGGCUUCUCAACAAAGUUUUAGUAGUUUGGUUACUUGAUAUUCUUCUUGAAAAUGAAUGGUCACUUGCCAAUUUGCAGGUCUGUGAACUGGACAUGAUAUUCAACUUUCAUAAGGUCUUGCAUUAAAUGGCGUCACUAUUUUUCAAAAUUUAUAUUUUGAUCAUUUGACACAUUUCUUUUAAGAUUAUGAGCCAAUGAUUUUUUUUAUUGUAACCCCUAGGGAGUCAUUGAAUUUAAAUCCAUUCUUCUAUCCUUCACUUGAUUAGUUCAAUAUACCUAUACUACAAGAAUCAAAUUGCAGCAUGCAGAUAAAGAAGCUCUACACGCAAAGGGAAGAUUAAAUCAAAUAGUAUAUAAAGAUCUAAUGGGAGAGUGACAGUUAAAUUGGAAGAGAUUGUCCACGUUGCACUCAUGUUUAGACAUUUUAGGUGACUGUUGAUUUUUUGACUUUUUGUGGAAUUGAAUUUGCCACUAAACAUUAGUAGUAAGGCACCACAGGAAAUUUUAUGAAUCUGGUGACAUUAGUACUAAGGCUUUUUUUUUGUACCAAAGAUCAGCUAUUUGAAAUAGGGUGGUGUCAUACAUACAUGCUUAUAAGCAAAGGAUUGAUUAAGUUUGUCAUUUUCAUGCCUCUAGUUUUGAGUUGUAUUUUGAUGGAUUAUUUUAUAAUAUAUACUUAGUUAUGUUGUACUGCACAUCAUGUAUUGUUUGAUUUAAUGAUUAAUAAAAAUUUGUUUAGUUUUGGUUAUUCAAGUUUAUAAUAAUUAAAAAAAAAAUUAAAAAGAAAA